rnacentral:rRNA from 1 species
UACAGAGGUCCCAAGCGUUGUUCGGAUUCAUUGGGCGUAAAGGGUGCGUAGGCGGCGCGGUAAGUCGGGUGUGAAAUCUCGGGGCUUAACUCCGAAACUGCAUUCGAUACUGCCGUGCUUGAGGACUGGAGAGGAGACUGGAAUUUACGGUGUAGCGGUGAAAUGCGCAGAUAUCAGGAGGAACACCGAUGGCGAAGGCAGGUCUCUGGGCAUUAACUGACGCUGAGGAGCGAAAGCAUGGGGAGCGAACAGG